CCUGGAUCAAUCAAUGGGAGCUCCAUCUCAAACCUCAGGAACUCCAGUAAUGUCAAUGUUACAGGCCGAUGGGCCUUCAGGGUGGACAGUGGACAACACGACAUCUCUAAAGUCAUUGGAUUUCGAGUGAGACUUAAAUCAUUACUUGACCUAACAAACAGUACAAACACCAAUAUAGUUUUACAGCAAAUUAAACAGGAGCUGGUCAAGUACGGUCUUUCAAACAGCAUCGAGCUGAAAUUAAGAAAAGUGCAAAGGAUAAAGCCAUAAUAUCAGUCUCCUUCAGGAAAAGAAAUAACACCAGUUAGUUCUUAAAUGUCUGGCAGCAGAUAUUCCAAUGAUCAUGUACAGAUUAAAAAACACCAGUUUUCAUUAAGAUGGUUAAACACCACAACAGCCAAGCAACAUUUCUGUAUUAAUCAGCACUGAUUUUGAUACUGCCUUCAUAUAGCCGUAAAAAUUUAAAAACUGCAUGGGUUUAAUUCCCAGGUAAGGCAUGAGCUGAACAAAAAAAAGAGAAAAAAAAUGUAUCACUUUAAUGAAAUGUAGAGUAAGUUUCUUUUGAAUAAAAGCUUCUGCCAAAAGCAUGAAUUAAAUGUACUAUAUACCAUAUAUAUAUAUCAAUACAUGAUUCUGCCUGCUGCUGCUUUCUGUCUGUAAAGUAUUUAAAUGCAGGCAGACUUUAGUCAGGAUAAACGUCAUAUUGAAUUUUACAUGAAUGAAAAUUAAGCUGUUGGGGAUACAUUUACUGUCUUUACAAUAGCAUUAUCAUCAUAACUUUAUAAAGGUACAAAAUCACGUAAUUUUCACAACUCCCAACUUUCUUGUCUACUUAAAGUUAUUUUCGGAAGGACUUUUUUUUGUGAGCUAAACAAUCUGUAUGUUUGUAAACAACAGAACAAUCCAUUGAAUGCACUGUCCUACUGCUGUGCUGCACUGUAGCUUUGUUUUAAUUUAUGUAAAAAUAAAUAAGCUAUGCCACUA